rnacentral:tRNA from 1 species
GGGGACGUAGCUCAGUUGGGAGAGCGCGGGCUUUGCAAGCCUGAGGUCGUGGGUUCGAGCCCCAUCGUCUCCACCA